GACGGGACCCGCACAAGCGGUGGAUGAUGUGGAUUAAUUCGAUGCAACGCGAAAACCUUACCUACCCUUGACAUGUCCGGAAUCCCGAAGAGAUUUGGGAGUGCUCGCAAGAGAACCGGAACACAGGUGCUGCAUGGCUGUCGUCAGCUCGUGUCGUGAGAUGUUGGGUUAAGUCCCGCAACGAGUGCAACCCUUGUCAUUAGUUGCCAUCAUUUGGUUGGGCACUCUAAUGAGACUGCCGGUGACAAACCGGAGGAAGGUGGGGAUGACGUCAAGUCCUCAUGGCCCUUAUGGGUAGGGCUUCACACGUCAUACAAUGGUCGGUACAGAGGGUUGCCAACCCGCGAGGGGGAGCUAAUCCCACAAAGCCGAUCGUAGUCCGGAUCGCAGUCUGCAACUCGACUGCGUGAAGUCGGAAUCGCUAGUAAUCGUGGAUCAGCAUGUCACGGUGAAUACGUUCCCGGGUCUU
rnacentral:rRNA from 1 species